GCUGGGCAUGGUGGCGCAUGCCUUUAUUCCCAGCUACUUGGGAGGCUGAGGCAGAAGAAUCACUUGAGCCUGGGAGGUGGAGGUUGCAGUGAGCUGAGAUCACACCACUGCACUCCAUCUUGGGCAACAGAGUGAGACUUUGUCUCAA
ensembl:misc_RNA Metazoa_SRP Metazoan signal recognition particle RNA